CCGGCGCACGGGUGAGUAACACGUAUCCAACCUGCCGUCUACUCUUGGCCAGCCUUCUGAAGGAAGAUUAAUCCAGGAUGGGAUCAUGAGUUCACAUGUCCGCAUGAUUAAAGGUAUUUUCCGGUAGACGAUGGGGAUGCGUUCCAUUAGAUAGUAGGCGGGGUAACGGCCCACCAAGCCUUCGAUGGAUAGGGGUUCUGAGAGGAAGGUCCCCCACAUUGGAACUGAGACACGGUCCAA
rnacentral:rRNA from 1 species